rnacentral:tRNA from 9 species
GCCUCCAUAGCUCAGUUGGUAGAGCGUUUCACUCGUAAUGAAAAGGUCAACAGUUCGAUUCUGUUUGGAGGCUCCA